rnacentral:lncRNA from 11 species
GCCCCCUCGCUGGUCUCUGGGCUGGGGAUAAAAAAAGAGAGAGAGAGCCAUGUCCGGGUGAUGCGAGGAGAGGCUCCCCCCGCUCGCCGCCUUUCCAGCGCCCGGGUUUCUCUGCGGCAGACGGAGGGGGAGAGACCAUUCUUCGCGGAAGAGGGGGAUACGUUCGUUUGUCUCUCCCUCUCUCCAGCAGAGAGAAGAAUAGAAAUGCCCAGGUUUGGGGCUGGGAGGAAAUAGCGCAGUCUGUCUUCCUCCAUCCGCUUCUUGGCUUUCCAGAGCUUGGGGAUUUGUGCUUGGUUUGUGUUCCCAGAAGGCAGGGCUUUUGUUUUGCCUCGCCUGCAGUCCUUUGGAACUCCCCGCCUCGUGAUUGCAAGUCGUGAAGACCUUGGAAGGAAAAGCGGGGGCAGCCAGUGUGUGUUUUCCUGCCCUCCCAGCCCUAUUGGAGCAGUUGGCCAACAGCAGCGGGAUUCACCUUCCUGCCCUUCCUUUUUUUAGCCUGCUUCCUUCCCUCUUUGUGGGUCGUGAUGUUGCUGCCCAUCUAUCCCUCCUCCUCUUCCUCCUCCUUAUUGACUCCUUGGAACGGUGAAGACCCGUCCAGACCCAGAUCUUAACUGUCAAGAUGUGGCAAAGCAUUGGCCUGACUCUGCUGUCACUGCUGGCCACUUUGGCUUGUGUCCUGCUCUUCAUGCUUUGUGGUUGGUACGUGGUCUGGCAGCUCUUCUUAUCCAAGUUCAAGUUUCUACGAGAGCUGAUAGGAGACACAGGGUCCCAACAAGGGGAUAGUGAAGUCACCGAGCCAGAAGCGGAACAGGAUGCGCCUUCUACUCCACAAAGAAGUCGGCAGAAAUCAGCACGUCAGCGAAGGAUCCCUGUCGAAGAUGAUUAAAAUUGAAUAUUGGAUAAGCCCCAAGUGACUGGUGGUCCGCACUUCUGCAAUUAUAUGUUUCUGGUUCCACUGGCAUGAAUACGUUAUUUCAGAAGAGAUCUGGGCAACAUUUCAAUGGAGAACAAGAUGGGACUAGGAAGAAGGAAGUUAGCCAAAGGAAUUGCCUGCUAUGUUUUGCGGGUGGAGUUUGUGAGAAAGCGUGCUUCCCUGUCUUUUCUUAUUUGGCGUAUUUUUGUGUGAGUGUGAAUGGGCUCAGCUUUUCAGCAUUGAAAUGACAGUGGCUGGCUUUUGUCACAAACGGCAAGUUUUUGCAGUUAGGAUCUAGUGUAAUUCUUCAUUUAUAUAUAUUUAUAUGUAAAAGCUGCAUUCCUUGAGCCUUAUACAGGAAUGCUGCAAUGUUUUUUUUUCCUGCUUUGGAAGAUAGCUCGAAAGGCUGCUUCUCCCAUAGGGGAAAAUCAAUUUUAGGCUCAUGCAAAGGUUUUAAGAAUUAUCUUAAUCAGGUAAUGAAGCCUGGCAUUUUUGUUACAAUGCAUGGCAAUUUUGGAGGCUUUAAAUCAAAACCACUAAACAUCUUGGCAGACUUCUGUCAGAGUGUUUCAUCAAAUCCUUUCUGCUUUCUUUUAACAGAACGGAGUUAAGCAUCUGCUACAAACAUGUAUCCAAUGUCAUUUGUUAAGAAUGGAUUAUUUGGCUUUAAUGUGGGUUCCUCCCUCCUUUUGUUUGUUUGUAUUCUUUGCACCAAAAAUGUGUUGACACUAGUUACAGAAAUCUGACAGAGCUCUGGGGAUACCUUUUCUUCAUAUAAUCUUGCUAAAUUGUGUGUCUGGGACCUCAUACUUGGUGUUCUGUAAUUAUGGCGAUGAAGGUAGUAAAUUCUUCUCCUUUGCCUUCUGAUCAGGAGCAACCGCUGCUCAAUUUAUGACAGAAUGAGUGUUGAUCAUGGCAUCAUAGUAGCCACUGAUGCUGUAAUAUGUGAGAAGUUAGGAUUAUUCCUCCAGGGUUCUUGUACAACUGACUUCUUCUUGGACUCCAGGAUGUAUCUUGGUUUUUUUCUGGUUCAGCUUCUUCCUUAGCACUUUGAUUCAGGAAGGACUCCAGAAAAGUCUCUUAAAGCAGGUCAAAGCUUCAAUGUGAUUAUUUCUAUAGACCAACCAUCCUGAGCUGAAACUUUUUACGAUCUUCCAGAGUCUCAAAUAUGGCUGAAGCAGCUUUGAUCAGUUUGUUCCUUUCCUAAUUAUCUGUGGACACUUUUUUUUUUUUUUUGGAAAAAGUAGAAUGGUUGUUGUGUGUUUUCUGGGCUGUAUGGCCAUAUUCCAUAAGCAUUCUCUCCUGACGUUUCGCCUACAUCUAUGACAGAUAUCAAUGGUUCUUGGUGAUUUAAAGAUGCUACACUCACAAACUCAUAAAUGGCUUAAGUCUUCUGCUUCCCCCCAACCCCUAAUUUCCUGAAGUUUUAGCAUUCAAACACUCACACUUCUUGCUUUAAUCUUUCUGUGAAAACUUAUUUUCAUUCUGGGUUAGUUAUAUUAUCCUGGAAUAUGUAAUUAAUACAGCAAAUCACCCUCUUUUCUGCAUUACAUAGCAACAAAUUUGGUAUUAUAUCCACAAAAAUGUAAGAACUGAAAUCCAGUUGGUAGUCACAAAAAGGUUAGACUUGUUAAGUCAGUGGAUAUUUAUUAAGUUAGUAAGUCUCAUUGGGACUAGCCAUUUCAUUUAGACCAAUGGUUCCCAAACUUGGUUCUCCGGAUGUUUUGAACUUCAGAUCCCACAAUUCCUAACAGCUGGUAAGCUGGCUGGGAUUUCUGGGAGUUGAAGUCCAAAACAACUGGAGGACCAAAGGUUGGGAACUACUGCUUUAGACCUUUGUGAUUCAUAGUCCUUAGAUUCCCAGGCUGAAAAUUUCACAAAUAAAGGCUCCAGUGUAUUGAUAAGAUUUUUACUACAUCUGUCCUGUGGAUGUAUGCAAUUGAAAGAAAUACUUGAAAUUAAAUAAUGCUCAUUGUGUUCAGAUGGAUUGGCCCCAUUCCUCUCUCCCCUCUCUUAUAAAGGUUUAUCUUAUAGAAUCCAUACAAUAAUCUCAUACAGAAUUCAUCUAAUGAAUUCUUUAUGAUGUUUCUGAGAUUUUACUUUUUUAAAUGCCACCUGUGUUUAUAAAACUCUAGAACAGAUCACUUCUAAUACUGACACCACAUGUGUCCCACCUAGCACCAAGUGUGAAAGACAUUUUAUACAGUUAGUACACAUGUUGGUUGUGUGAUGUUUCAUGUAGUAAUUUUCCUAUCCUUAUAUGAAAUGACUCUUGGAUCCUGAUGUCAUGUAAACCACGUGGUAAUCUUUUUAUGUGUGGGUGGAGGUUGCAACAACUUGAAGCUGUUACCAAGGACUUCUCCAGAUUUUGAACCAUGGAUUUAUAUAUCUAGAUACGGGUAGACAGCUGUGUGUGUGUUUUUUAUUUUUGUCGCUAUGUUUUUUUCUGUUUAAUAUUGCAGCCAUUUCAGUGUUGAUGAGACUGAAUAGUUUUACGUGUAGAUAUAGACCCAGCUGGAAGACUGGAGUGAACUUUUGGACAUUUUGUAAAAAAUUAAAUGUCAAAAGGUGCUAAAGAUACUCAAACAAGCACAUAACCUCAUUGAAGAUGAGAGGUCGAUUGCAAUGAAAAGAAAUGGGCACUACUAUUACGUUUUCUUUGAAGAUCUCAUUUUAGAUCCAUUUUCUGGCAAAAUACUCCUGUUAUCAGUGCUGCAAUAUAGCCAACAGAAUUGUGGAAGCAUUGGGCUGGUUGCUCAGAUGAAUUACACUGUCUGUAACAUCAAUUCAUUUAUAUAUCACUGUUACUGAAAGCACUUAUAGCAACUCUGGAGGAGUUGUCACCCUCCAGAUGCUGUUGGACUGCAGUUCCCAUCACCUUGGACUCUUUCUCAUGGCUAUUGGAGUCCCAACAUCAGUAGGGCCAGAAGAUCCCAAGCCCUGCUUUGUAGGAAAUGCCGUGCUACACUGUAUCACAGGCAAUGGGUAGCUUGCUGCUUAUGUUGCACCACGCAGUGAGCUGACUUGCAUCAUAGUAUGUUCCAGACAUGUUCAUUAUGAUAUGUACACGGCAGCUGUAACAAAUGAGAUUUCUAUUCUUCAUCUGUGUUCACUGGGUUUUUUCUAAAAAAAAAAAAAAAAACAACCCUCUACCAAAUGCUUCUGAGUUUUCUGUAUCUAUCAUGUGGACUAUUGUUUUCUCUCUUUAUUUAUUUAAACUGACUCCACUAAUAACUUGACAAAUAAAUAUGUAAAUAACACAACUUGAUACAGAUGCCCACAUGUUUUUGUACCUGUUGCAAUGGUGAAUUGGUUUAUUUGCUUAUUCGUUUAUAUCAGCAGUUCCCAACCUUUUUUUGACUAGGGAUCACUCUCCAACAUUAGUACCAAAAGGGUUAC